rnacentral:misc_RNA from 1 species
GGAAGUAAAAUAACAAGGUUUCCGUAGGUGAACCUGCGGAAGGAUCAUUAUUGUAUAACCGAGGUGCGAGGGCUGUCGCUGACCCGAAAGGUCGUGCACGCCCGAGUGCCCUCACACACAUCCAUCUCACCCCUAUGUGCACCACCGCGUGGGUCCCCCUUUGGCUUGUUCGGAGGGGGGCUUACGUUUUCACACAAACUUUGUAUGCAGUGUAGAAUGUAUUUUUUGUUUUUGCGAUCACGCAAUCAAUACAACUUUCAACAACGGAUCUCUUGGCUCUC